UACGAAGGGGGCUAGCGUUGUUCGGAAUUAUUGGGCGUAAAGCGCGCGUAGGCGGCCCGUUAAGUUGGUCGUGAAAUCCCAUGGCUCAACCAUGGAAGUGCAACCAAAACUGGCGGGCUUGAGUUCUGAAGAGAAUGGCGGAAUUCCCAGUGUAGAGGUGAAAUUCGUAGAUAUUGGGAGGAACAUCGGUGGCGAAGGCGGCCAUUUGGGAAGAUACUGACGCUGAGGCGCGAAAGCGUGGGGAUCAAACAGG
rnacentral:rRNA from 1 species